UAACCACCUUUUAGAGAAUUCCAAAAAUAAAUGCCAGCACUUAAAUUGUUUUGUUUAUUAUUUAUUUACCCUAGGUUUAAUCUCAGCCAUAUAUAGAUUCUAACCCAGCGACCAUGAUCCCUUCUUAGAUAAAAUCUCAAUACCUAGUUUGACUAGGGUUUUUCACUUGCUUUUCUCUUUAUUUCUCUCUCUUUGCGAGUCAUCCUUUAUCUCUAUCUCCAAUUUUGGCAAAUUUGACCAUAGUAAUUCAAAACCAGAGGUGAAAUCUCUUUUUUAUUUAUCUUCUGAUUUCCCCUCUGCCAAAAGGUGUCCUUGAAGAUUUGUAACGUUUGAAAUUCAAAUGUUUAUGACUGAAAUUGGAACCAAAAUUCCGCUCAAAUUCCAAGUCUAAACCCUAACUUGUCCUUAGAAAUACCAGCCAUUAAAAAGUUUCCGGGAGAACGUUCUUGGCUACCUCAAAUCCUAACUCUACUGCUCUUCUAUCAUUUUCACUCCUCAAAAUCAUUCUUAAAACUUGGUUCUUCCCUUCUUGUAUUCUCUCUGUUUCUGUUGGUUUUCUAACCAAAUCAGAAGCAAUUUUGCUACUCGAACGUAGCUUGAGGUAGCAAGGUCGAGGUUAGAGUUUGAUAGCAGAUCGAAGGACUGAGUUCACUACCCCGUAAAAGAUUUGAUGAUGAAUGAUGUCUCCGAUUGUCUUUGGAGUUUUGAUGACGAAUGAUACCUCCGGUUGUGUUCGGGGACUUGAUGAUAGAGUAUGCUUGUAAAAUCUUGGGUAAAGUUGCCAGAUAUGUCCAAUUAGAGGGUAGACGAGCCAAUAGGUCCUAUUCAAGGGCAGACGAACUCAGUAUGUCCUAUUUAAGGGCGGACAAAUCCAAAUAUCCUAUUAAAGGCGAAUAAGCCUAAAUGUCCUAUUAAAGGCGAAUAAGCCUAAAUGUCCUAUUUAAGGCGGACGGGCCUAAAUGUCCUAUUGAAGGCGGACGAGCCUAAUAUCCUAUUGAAGGCAGAUGAGCCUUAAAUGUCCUAUUAAAGGCGGACCAUCUUAAAUGUCCAAUUGAAGGUAGACGAGCCUAAAUGUCCUAUUAAAGGCAGACGAGCCUAAAUGUUCUAUUGAAAGCGGACAAGCCUAAAUGUCUCGUUGAAGGUGGACGAGCCUAAAUAUCCUAUUAAAGGAGGAUAAGCCUAAAUUUUCUAUUGAAUGCGGACGGGCCUAAAUGUCCCUCCAAUUGUGGUUGGUAGAUUGAUGUUAAUGAUGCCUCCGAUUGUCUUCGGAGAUUGUAUGAUGAAUGUAAAGUCGCGGUUAAAGUUGCAUGUAAAGUUCAAGAUAAAGUCAUGAAGUCGUAAAAUAAUAAUAAAGUAAGGUAAAGUCAAUGAUAAAGUAUGAAUGAAGCCGUUUGGCUUAUGAAGAUGAUGUCGUCCAAAUGAUACUCCGGUUGUCUUUGAAGAUUGAUGUUGAAUGAUGCUUCCAUUUGUCUCUGAAAACUUGAUGAUUAUUCCUGUAAAGUUUAGGAUAAAGUCAUAAAGUUAAAAGUGCAUGAUAAAGUAGUGAUAGUGUGAAUAAUAAAGUAAGAAUGAAGUUGUUUGUCUUAUGA